rnacentral:misc_RNA from 1 species
GGGCUGCAAUAAAUGUGUAUGCAAAUAAACACAAAGAACGCCCUGACCGUCUCAUCGACAUGUUAACCAGCAGUCAUAGGAAGGUGUUGGCAUGUGUUGUCUGUGGUCGUCUAAAAAGUGCAUUUCAGAUAGCAUCUCGAAGUGGAAGUGUUGCUGAUGUUCAAUAUGUAGCUCAUCAGGCAUUACAUGCAAAUGCACUCCCGGUGCUUGAUAUGUGUAAACAAUGGUUGGCACAAUACAUGUAAAAUUUUGUUGCUCAAGAGUAGAAAGGC